GCCUGAGGGGAGGCGGCUCCCGCGCCUGCCAUGGCAGGGCUGAGGGGUUUUUCUCCUCUGUUCGCUGCUCUGGCCCCUCAGGGUUGGGCUCUGGAACCAAGGACUCUGGUUUUCUCCUCAGUGUGCCCACAGGAAGCACCCCCGGGGCGGCUGUGUCAGGUGCUGUCCCAAUGAACAAGAAUAUCCAGGAAUUAAGUUUCUCUCAGAAAAGUGGAGAUGUGCAGAAGAGGCUGCAUGAAGUGAGUUGAAAUUUGGGACAGCUUCUUAAAUUUAGACCACUGAGCUGUGUGAGGAAAUCCAUUUAAGUCUGAUGGGCAGAGCAAACUGAGGGGAAUGCAGCUGGAAAGAGAUGCACUUCAGCAUAGCAGGAUCUGGACUCCCAGGUGUCACACCUCCAAGGAAAGCUGGUCCUGUCUGGCCUAGGGGAAGGGUUAUGUCAUGAUGAGGUGCAAGUGGCACGUUGCAGUGAAGGUGGCAGCCUUUGACACUGGUCACGCCUCCAGACUGGGUUUACUGCUGGGAAUGAGCACAUUUCCACAGCUCAAGGGGGAACUAAAAGGGAAGAAAUCACCCUCUAGAAUCUGCUGCCUUUUCUUCAGGGCUUUGCUGUGUCAUCUGUUCACAACAGGUGGAGGAGGCACUUGAGUCACUGACAAAAGAGUCACAGACCCAAAGAGAGCUUCUGCUGCAGCAACAUCAAAUGAGGCAUCCAUUCUCUGGCUUUUUUUAUUCCUAAAGCAUAACCAGACAUUUUUCACAUGUUCCACAGAGACUUCCUUUGCGAUGAUCAUGGUAUUUGGGGUGGGGUGACUAGGAGGUACCAAGCAAUGUUUUUGAAGACUUCAGUAAU